GCGGGAAGAGCUCAGGAUGUGAAUCUGCGCCUUGGUGCGCCGAAUUGUGGUCUGUCGACGGUGGCAUUACUGGCCGGGCCAAGUCCUUUGGAACAAGGCAGCUGAGAGGGUGAGACUCCCGUCCGCCUGGCUAGGUGAGCCACUAGUCUACGAGUCGAGUUGUUUGGGAUUGCAGCUCUAAGUGGGUGGUAAAUUCCAUCUAAAGCUAAAUAUUGGUGGGAGACCGAUAGCGUACAAGUACCGUGAGGGAAAGAUGCAAAGAACUUUGAAAAGAGAGUUAAAGAGUACCUGAAAUUGCUGAAAGGGAAGCGAAGGAAACCAGUGUCGGCUCAGUCAUAUUUCCCUGUCCGCUUGCGGUUUGGGCGCUGUGUCUGGCCUGUGUCGUCCUUGGUUGGUUCUGCUGGAAGAGCGCAGUGAGAGUUGAUCACUGUUGCUAGCAGCAGGCC
rnacentral:rRNA from 1 species